rnacentral:rRNA from 1 species
CACGUAGGAGGCAAACGUUAUCCGGAUUUACUGGGCGUAAAGCGCGUGCAGGCUGUUCAAUAAGUUGGGCGUGAAAGCUCCCGGCUCAACUGGGAGAGGUCGUUCAAUACUGUUGGACUAGAGGAUGGUAGAGGAAGGUGGAAUUCCGGGUGUAGUGGUGAAAUUCGUAGAUAUUGGGAAGAACACCGGUGGCGAAGGCGGCCUUCUGGACCAUUCCUGACGCUCAGACG